AAGUGGAUUAGUGGCGCACGGGUGAGUAAUGCAUAGGUUAUGUGCCCCAUAGUCUGGGAUAGCCACUGGAAACGGUGAUUAAUACUGGAUACUCCCUACGGGGGAAAGUUUUUCGCUAUGGGAUCAGCCUAUGUCCUAUCAGCUUGUUGGUGAGGUAAUGGCUCACCAAGGCUAUGACGGGUAUCCGGCCUGAGAGGGUGAUCGGACACACUGGAACUGAGACAUGGUCCAGACUCCUACGGGAGGCAGCGGUAGGGAAUAUUGCUCAAUGGGCGAAAGCCUGAAGCAGCAACGUCGCGUGGAGGAUGAAGGUUUUAGGAUUGUAAACUCCUUUUGUUAGAGAAGAUU
rnacentral:rRNA from 1 species